rnacentral:rRNA from 1 species
AAGUGGGAUCAUACCAGCACUAAUGCACCGAAUCCCAUUGGAACUCUGAAGUUAAGCGUGCUUGGGAGAGAAUAGUGCUAAGAUGGGCUUUGUCACAGGACUUUCACAAACACAGGCA